rnacentral:rRNA from 1 species
ACCGGCGGCUCGAGUGGUAACCGUUAUUAUUGGGUCUAAAGGGUCUGUAGCCGGCCGGAUAAGUCUCUUGAGAAAUCCAGCAGCUCAACUGUUGGGCUUUCAGGAGAUACUGUCUGGCUCGAGGCCGGGAGAGGUGAGAGGCACUUCAGGGGUAGGGGUGAAAUGUUGUGAUCCUAGGAGGACCACCAGUGGCGAAGGCGUCUCACCGGAAUGUACCUGACGGUAAGGGACGAAAGCUUGGGGCACGAACCG